rnacentral:lncRNA from 1 species
CAAAAGAACAAUCACUUUCAACAGAAGAGGUGGCGAAUUUUUCUUCGAAGGGAUCAAAAUUGUUUUUGCAAUUAAAAAAACUGGAGGAAUAAACUCUAACAUCCACAGAAAAGCAGUAUUUAAAACAGAAAUUAAAAUAGACAUCCCAAAUAUAUAUAGAACAAAAUAUGACUGUCAACACAAAAGGUGUGGGCCUCACCC